GACGAACGCUGGCGGCGUGCUUAACACAUGCAAGUCGUACGGUAAGGCCCUUUCGGGGGUACCCGAGUGGCGAACGGGUGAGUAACACGUGAGUAACCUGCCCACAACUUUGGGAUAACGCUAGGAAACUGGUGCUAAUACUGGAUAUGUGCUCCUGCUGCAUGGUGGGGGUUGGAAAGCUCCGGCGGUUGUGGAUGGACUCGCGGCCUAUCAGCUUGUUGGUGGGGUAGUGGCCUACCAAGGCGGCGACGGGUAGCCGGCCUGAGAGGGUGACCGGCCACAUUGGGACUGAGAUACGGCCCAGACUCCUACGGGAGGCAGCAGUGGGGAAUAUUGCACAAUGGGCGCAAGCCUGAUGCAGCAACGCCGCGUGCGGGAUGACGGCCUUCGGGUUGUAAACCGCGUUCAGCAGGGACGAAGCUUUUUGUGACGGUACCUGCAGAAGAAGCACCGGCUAACUACGUG
rnacentral:rRNA from 1 species